rnacentral:rRNA from 1 species
CAGGCCUAACACAUGCAAGUCGAGCGCCCUGCUUGCAGGGAGCGGCAGACGGGUGAGUAACGCGUGGGAAUUUACCCAUCUCUACGGAACAACAGUUGGAAACGACUGCUAAUACCGUAUACGCCCUACGGGGGAAAGAUUUAUCGGAGAUGGAUGAGCCCGCGUUGGAUUAGCUAGUUGGUGGGGUAAUGGCCUACCAAGGCGACGAUCCAUAGCUGGUCUGAGAGGAUGAUCAGCCACACUGGGACUGAGACACGGCCCAGACUCCUACGGGAGGCAGCAGUGGGGAAUAUUGGACAAUGGGCGAAAGCCUGAUCCAGCCAUGCCGCGUGAGUGAUGAAGGCCCUAGGGUUGUAAAGCUCUUUCAACGGUGAUGAUAAUGACAGUAGCCGUAGAAGAAGCCCCGGCUAACUUCGUGCCAGCAGCCGCGGUAAUACGAAGGGGGCUAGCGUUGUCCGGAAUUACUGGGCGUAAAGCGCACGUAGGCGGAUUGGACAGUCAGAGGUGAAAUCCCAGGGCUCAACCCUGGAACUGCCUUUGAUACUUCCAGUCUAGAGGUCGAGAGAGGUGAGUGGAAUUCCGAGUGUAGAGGUGAAAUUCGUAGAUAUUCGGAGGAACACCAGUGGCGAAGGCGGCUCACUGGCUCGAU